GACGAACGCUGGCGGCGUGCUUUACACAUGCAAGUCGAACGGUGAAGGUGGAGCUUGCUCCGCCGGAUCAGUGGCGAACGGGUGAGUAACACGUGGGCAACCUGCCCCUAACUUUGGGAUAACUACUCGCAAGAGUAGCUAAUACCGGAUAUGAAGUCUGUAGGCAUAUAUGGAUUUGGAAAGUUUUUCGGUUAGGGAUGGGCCCGCGGCCUAUCAGCUUGUUGGUGAGGUAGUGGCUCACCAAGGCGACGACGGGUAGCCGGCCUGAGAGGGCGACCGGCCACACUGGGACUGAGACACGGCCCAGACUCCUACGGGAGGCAGCAGUGGGGAAUAUUGCGCAAUGGGCGAAAGCCUGACGCAGCAACGCCGCGUGCGGGAUGAAGGCCUUCGGGUUGUAAACCGCUUUCAGCAGGGAAGAAGCGAAAGUGACGGUACCUGCAGAAGAAGCACCGGCUAACUACGUGCCAGCAGCCGCAGUAA
rnacentral:rRNA from 1 species